GUCUACAGCCAUAUCCUGAAUGUGCCUGAUCUCGUCUGAUUUCGGAAGCUAAGCAGGGUCAGGCCUGGUUAGUACUUGGAUGGGAGAUCACCUAGGAACCCAGGUGUUGUAGGUG
rnacentral:rRNA from 1 species